CCGUUAAGCUCGCCUCCCCACUCGCCGGCCUCCGUCGCGGCUGGGUCCCCGAAGUUCCGUCGCCACUGUGAAAUUUUGUUAUUGUUAUUGUUCUCCGUCCGAGGGUUGGGAGCACCAGUCUAGCGCCUAUGGUACUCUCUUGCGGACAACGUUUUUUGGGCCAGAUUCAGGAGGAGUCGUGGCUCCUGCCACACCGAAGAAGUAGAGCUUGUUGAUGAGCCCGCCUAGCCGGAAUAUAUUUCGAUACAAGACCAAGACUCGGCAAUCAAUGCAUUCGCUCUCACCGUUUGGGUUCGAUGCUGCUGUUCCUGGAGUUAAUCAUAGCCCUGUCAAGACUCCUAGGAAGGUUGCGAGGUCACCGUAUAAGGUACUAGAUGCGCCUACAUUGCAAGACGACUUUUAUUUGAUCUUGUGGAUUGGUCUUCGAACAAUGUGUUGGUUGUUGGAUUGGGUAGUUGUGUUUACUUAUGGAAUGUCUGUAGUAGCAAGGUGAACUCUAUUGUUAGCAUGGUCAUCAAAAAAGUGUUACAAUAUUUGAAAUUUGGUAUGGGAAUCUUGGUUUGGUCUAUUUAUGAGUAUUGGUUCUGCUUUAUUGAUUAUGGCA